rnacentral:tRNA from 1 species
AAAGUAAAUUUAGAUAUUAUUUUGCAAAAAUAAUUAUAGAUUAUUUAAUCUUUACUUUU